AACCCACUAUCCUAUUGUGAAUUCUUUUUGAGUGCCGGAAUUACGGCUUGGGUUGCUUCACAACAAGGAAUGCUGAGCGUCGAUCAGAUGCCCAGUGAUCUACAGUGAGGUUAUUCGUCUUGCUUCUCCGACUGAAUGCAUCAAAUAAACUGCUAAAGCGGCUUCUUUUUUCUUCUUCUUCUUCUGUUGGUUUUUUUUUAUGGUACGAAUGGGCGUGUUAUAGCUUUCUCGCUCACUCUCUUGGGUACUUGUUGGCAGUCGUAAAUAAGGCAGACGAUAAUACCGUUCGACUGCCAACUCACGAACACGGCACGACUUGUUAGUGGUCAAUGAUCUGGCAGUGGACCAUUGAUGCUGGGAAUAGCAGUGGCUGGACCAGUGAUCGGCCGAGUCACAUUCUAUCGUCCCCGGGCCGCCAGUGGAGCGGCUCCAUGUAAACCAUCCAAGUGGUCGAUUACCGAGCCCAACGAGUCGUUGGGUGCCGAUUGCGUCUCCGCCAUGGCCAGUCAGUCGUCUCUCUCUUCUGCCAGUGCUCGCUCCACUUCUCCCGAUCCGUGUGUGGUUUCUGAGUCGUCAUCAAUCAAAAGGGCGAGGAACACAAUAGGAAAGCCUCCCUCGCAAUCUCCCUCACAUGAUGUUUUUCGCUUAUUUAAGCUCCCCCAGGGAGAUGAGAUGGGGAGGUCCCUCAUCGUGCUACUGCUCUUUCCGUUGCUCUCCAUACGAAAUGUCCCCUCUCUUGUGCUGCCCCUGCAGCACCCUCGUCUCUCCCCGCCUGCCGUCGCCCUCUUGGGCAACACUGCCGAGAAUUUCUAUCACCAGAGUGCAGAGAUAUGUUGGUCCAAGCAUGAACAGUGAUUGCCUCAAGGUUGUACCUCUCCGCAGCAAGCAUCAACUUCACUGGAGUUUCAUUGGAGGGUCGAGAAUCCAACACGAGCCGAGGGGUUCAAGGAUUGUUCGUCGUCAAAGAGGGUUUCGCCCGUCAGCUUCUUGGCUUACAAGUUCACAGAUUGCUAGCAAUGCUUUCACUUGGGGCACGGUUGCUGUUCUUCCUUUCUACACUUUGAUGGUACUGGCUCCUAAAGCUUCAUUUACUAGAAGAACCAUGGAGAGCAGUGUGCCAUACAUUGCUCUUGGAGUUCUAUAUGCAUACCUUCUGUAUCUGUCAUGGACUCCUGACACAUUUAGAAUGAUGUUUGCUAGUAAAUACUGGCUGCCAGAGUUAGCUGGAAUAGCAAAAAUGUUCACCAAUGAAUUGACGGUGGCUUCAGCAUGGAUUCACUUAUUGGCUGUAGACCUUUUCGCUGCAAGGCAGGUAUUCCACGACGGUUUAAAGAAAAAUGUUGAGACCCGACACUCAGUUUCUUUGUGCCUACUCUUCUGUCCGAUGGGAAUUUUUUCUCACUGCAUCACCAUGCUGCUUGCCCAGAUGGCCAAUCGGUCGCAUUGAUGCUUAACGGCAGAAAAGUGCCAGCUUGAUCUCCAAUUUUUUCUGCUUCUGAGAAGGAGAGAGAACAGAAACCAAGAUAAUCCUCUCCUGUCACAUUCAUUUAGUGUCUGAUAUGUCAAUAUGGAUCAUCAAGUGAAUAUGUUUAUCAUCUGAGAAACUCUGGUGGAGCUCCUCCAUUCUCAUAAGAUAUCAUCCUCAGCUUCAGAGAUCAAAGGAACAGGUGAUGUGUUCAUCAAAUUUUACUACAUUUGUGUCCUGUGAGGUACAUAUUUAACCUCCUCUUUAAGUUCUAUCUGAAACUUCUUAUCCACACUUUCUUUUACAUGGCUAAUUAGCGCUAACAUAUCUUGCGAGGUCGAGCCAUUGAAGUUGACGAAGAAAUUUGCAUGAACGUUGGAAACCUUCGCACCUCCCACGGCGAAACCUUUGAGUCCUGCCAACUCAAUCAGCCUUCCCGCUGACAUUUCUGCACCCGAAGGGUUCCGAAACACCGAUCCAGCACUACGUUCUCCGAUCGGUUGAGUUCUUCUACGCCUACAGUUUGACAUUUGGAACUGGAACGCCCUCUGACGCUCUGUUGCCGCGGUGCUGGGCGUCAAUCGAAACGUGACCGCUACGAUCGCAGCUAAAUCCUUCAUGUCUUGGAACGCAGACCAACGAUACCCGAACGCCAGCUCCGACCUCCUCAGCACCUGCAACUCUCCGUCCAUCGUCACGAUCUCCACACUGUCCACCACGUCUCCCGUCUCCUGUCGCAGGAUGAUUGGAUUAGGCUCGUUUCGGAGAUGGGUCAUUUCGUCGAACAACAGAGGCUCAAGAAUCUCGAUGAAGGGUCGAUCACCUGGCAGUCGGCACCGGCAUUCGUGAACACGGCUCCGCCAACUGUUCCCGGAAUGCCGCCGGCGAAUUCAAGGCCUGAGAAACCCUCGGCGGAGCAUCGCACUCCGAGCCGGUUGAAGUGGAACCCGCUUCCGACCCUGUAAACACCCGGUUCUGUCACCUCGAGCUGGUCCACCCGGUUGAGCAUGACGAAGCCGUCGAAGCCGCGGUCGUCGAAGAGGCAAUUAGAGCCUCUGCCGAGGACCAGGAACGGAAUGCACCUCUCCCUGCAGUACCUGCAAGAGGGGGAAAAGUGAGUUCUCGACGAGCCACCCACCGCCCUGCACAUCCUGUUCGAUGAAAUGUCCACUCACCGAACGGCGGCGACGAGCUGGGAAGCUCGCGAGGUUCGGAGGAAGUAGCGGCAUGGGCCGCCGAUGCCCCAGCUGCUGAGCUCCCUUAGGCACUUGCGAUCGCAAAGGAUGCAGUUCUCGAUGAGCGGUUGGCCUUGUCGAUGACCGAGAACCACCAAAGAGUGUGACUUCUUGCGGUGGGGAGACGGUUCUCCACCGGAGGGACAAGUGAGGAAGUGGUGAUGGUGGGAGACGGAAGAAGGGGUUGGAACGCGAGAAGAGCCACAGGGGUUGGUCUUAAAGGUGGGCGAUGAGAAGGGAGACGGUAACGCCAUGCUUCUCAACCUCUCGAAGUGUCUUUGAAGCCUAAUAUCAAAUAGUAGACCCAAUAACAUGGGCUUUGGGCGCUCAUCUAUGAUGCCAAGGAUAUCAAAUGCCUUCAUUUAUACUUGGAAUUCCGUGGUUUCAACAAGAAA